AAUAGAUGUCAGAAUUCUCGGAAAAUCAUCCAAUGGAAGACAAUAAAUUUUUUAUGACUACACCAGAAUUUUUCACCAACGAGGUGUUCAGCUCCCUGGAAGAAUUGAUGAAUUGGGUAAAGGACAUGGCAUACUCUGUUGGUGUUGUCAUUGUCACCAAAAGAUCGAACAGUUAUCUUAGUAGUUUCGUGUAUAAAGUUGUACUGAUGUGUGAUUAUGGCGGCAAAUAUAAACAGAAGGGUUCAAUUAGAGCUCCCUGCACAAGAAAAACUGAUUGUCCAUUCGAAUUAGAAGCGAAAUAUUCAGAUGAAUAUAAUUAUUGGACGUUA